rnacentral:rRNA from 1 species
GCUAGCGUUGCUCGGAAUCACUGGGCGUAAAGGGUGCGUAGGCGGCUCUUUAAGUCAGGGGGGAAAUCCUGGAGCUCAACUCCAGAACUGCCUUUGAUACUGAGAAGCUUGAGUCCGGGAGAGGUGAGUGGAACUGCGAGUGUAGAGGUGAAAUUCGUAGAUAUUCGCAAGAACACCAGUGGCGAAGGCGGCUCACUGGCCCGGUACUGACGCUGAGAUGCGAAAGCGUGGGGAGCAAACAGG